GAUGAACGCUGGCGGCAUGCCUAAUACAUGCAAGUCGAGCGGACAGAGGAGGCUCUUGCUCCUCUGACGUUAGGGGCGGGCGAGUGAGUCACACGAAUAUGCCCUACCUAUAGGACUGAGGUCAGUAAGGGAAACCGAAUCUAAUACCGGAUAAUAUGUUGAACCGCGGGGAUCAUUGGAGAACGACGGUUUUGAUGACCCUUAUAGGUGGAUCCGGGCCGCAUUAGCUAGUUGGUACGGUAACGGCCUACCAAGGCAACGAUGCGUAGCCGACCUGAGAGGGUGAUCGGCCACACUGGAACUGAGACACGGUCCAGACUCCUACGGGAGGCAGCAGUAGGGAAUCUUCCGCAAUGGGCGAAAGCCUGACGCAGCCACGCCGCGUGUGUGAUGAAGGUCUUCGGAUCGUAAAGCUCUUUUAGUUGGGAAGAACAGAUGUGUAAGUAAACAUGGACGUCUUGACGGUACCUACUCAGAAAGCCCCGGCUAACUACGUG
rnacentral:rRNA from 1 species